UAAAGACUCUCGGCAACGGAUAUCUCGGCUCUUGCAUCGAUGAAGAACGUAGCGAAAUGCGAUACUUGGUGUGAAUUGCAGAAUCCCGUGAACCAUCGAGUCUUUGAACGCAAGUUGCGCCCGAAGCCAUUAGGCUGAGGGCACGCCUGCCUGGGUGUUGCA
rnacentral:rRNA from 1 species